UCCGGUUUGUCACCGGCAGUCCCCCAUGAGUCCCCGGCAUUACCCGCUGGCAACAUGGGGCGGGGGUUGCGCUCGUUGCGGGACUUAACCCAACACCUCACGACACGAGCUGACGACAGCCAUGCACCACCUGUGUAAGUGCCCCGAAGGGAGGACGUGUUUCCACGCCUGUCACCUACAUGUCAAGCCCAGGUAAGGUUCUUCGCGUUGCGUCGAAUUAAACCACAUGCUCCGCUGCUUGUGCAGGCCCCCGUCAAUUUCUUUGAGUUUUAAUCUUGCGACCGUACUCCCCAGGCGGCGCAUUUAUCGCGUUAGCUUCGCCACAGAAGGGGUCGAUUCCUCCUACAGCAAAUGCGCACCGUUUAGGGCGUGGACUAC
rnacentral:misc_RNA from 1 species